AGAACAAAAGAUGCUUUUGUCACUCAGGACAUUACAAAGGAGCUCUGUGUCAGAAGCUAGGAUUAAAGAACAAAUACAGAACAAAUUAUUCCUCCAGCACCCCUACUGCAAGGAUUUUAAGAACUCUAUCUCAGGAUAAAGACCUGAGGCCCAAGGAAGACGAAGAGAUAUCUGAAUGGCCUGGACAUGGCAUGUAAAAAUGACUCAGCCAACAGCUGGAAAGAAGCUGCUGGCCUUCAGGUCACAAGAUGUACAUUGCUGGCCUCAGCUGGAUUUUCCCAGGGUCAGGUGCCCAUUCCUACCUAAUCAAAGGACACUUCUGCUGACCUGCACCUAGAAUACCCUGUUCUGUGCUGAUGACUCAGAUGUAAGAAUGAUGAAGUGCAUCGGCUGGCAUGCAGAGAACAAUAAGAAAAAGAACUGAGUUGUGGGAAGACAUGAGGAAAGGACAUGAGGCUCUUAAUAACAGCUGCCAAGUACUGCAGUCGGGAAUCUGGAGCAAAGUGAUUCAAUUCUGACCACUGCCUGUGAGUAAAUGGGAUUUUAUUUUUCAAUACUUUUGUUUAAUAGUACCUCCUUCAUUACAUGUGAACAGCACUCCAGGACAGUAAAUCAUGAAAUGGGAAUAAAGCCUGUAAUUUUAAUUAACAUAUUUUAAAAUGUUUCUAAUUUGUAUGCAUUUGAUCAAAUUUUCAUUUGCAUUGAGCUAUUUUUUUUCUUUCUCAUGUAAUGUUUGACAUUACCAUUUCUUUCUUUAAUGAAAUACUAAUAUUUAAUAAAAUAUAUUACAUCCUUAA
ensembl:lncRNA LINC01445 long intergenic non-protein coding RNA 1445